AUUGAACGCUGGCGGCAGGCCUAACACAUGCAAGUCGAGCGAGCGGCGGACAGGUGAGUAAUGUCUGGGAACCUGCCUGAUGGAGAGGGAUCACUACUGGAAACGGUAGCUAAUACCGCGUACCAUCCGAUGUGCCCCGAUGGGGUUAGCUAGUCGGUGGGGUAACGGCCCACCUAGGCGACGAUCCCUAGCUGGUCUGAGAGUGUGACCAGCCACACUGGAACUGAGACACGGUCCAGACUCCUACGGGAGGCAGCAGUAGGGAAUAUUGGACAAUGGGCACAAGCCUGAUGCAGCCACGCCGCGUGUGUGAAGAAGGCCUUCGGGUCGUAAAGCACUUUCAUCGGGGAGGCGUUACCCGCAGAAGAAGCACCGGCUAACUCCGUGCCAGCAGCCGCGGUAAUAC
rnacentral:rRNA from 1 species